GAUGAACGCUGGCGGCGUGCCUAAUACAUGCAAGUCGAGCGAACAGACGAGGAGCUUGCUCCUCUGACGUUAGCGGCGGACGGGUGAGUAACACGUGGAUAACCUACCUAUAAGACUGGGAUAACUUCGGGAAACCGGGCUAAUAACGGGAAAUAUAUUUAACCCCAUGGGUUCAUAGUGAAAGACGGUUUUGCUGUCAACUAUAAAAGGAUCCGCGCCGCAUUAGCUAGUUGGUAAGGUAACGGCUUACCAAGGCAACGAUGCGUAGCCGACCUGAGAGGGUGAUCGGCCACACUGGAACUGAGACACGGUCCAGACUCCUACGGGAGGCAGCAGUAGGGAAUCUUCCGCAAUGGGCGAAAGCCUGACGGAGCAACGCCGCGUGAGUGAUGAAGGUCUUCGGAUCGUAAAACUCUGUUAUUAGGGAAGAACAAAUGUGUAAGUAACUAUGCACGUCUUGACGGUACCUAAUCAGAAAGCCACGGCUAACUACGUG
rnacentral:rRNA from 1 species